GCUUAUUAAAACUACAGCUUUGCCAAAACUACCAGAGAACUGAUACCGGUAUGUAGGCAAAAUACGCUCUUCAUGUUCAAGGAUUACAUAUGCAGUCAUAAUACAUGUACAAACAUUUCAAUUUCUUCUCCCCUCCCCCCCCCCCCCAACCCCCACCCGCAUUGUUUUAUUGUGUUUUCUCAAGGAUUUGUGUAGUAAAAUGAUAAGUUUUCUCAAUUGAAGAAUGGUCCGUUUACUAUUUACAUCAAACAUCCGUCAGAGUGUUACCUUCAAAUGUAAAACAAAUGAGGCAGGACAAUUAGCAUAGUACAAAGGAUACUUCCCUUAAGCCCAUAGAUAUAGGAAGAUGUGGUGUGAGUGCCAAUGAGACAACUCUCCAUCCAAAUAACAAUUCAAAAAAGUAAACCAUUAUAGGUUAAUGUACGGCCUUCAACACGAAGUCUUGGCUCACACCGAACAACAAGCUAUAAAGGGCCCCAAAAUUACUAGUGUAAAACCAUUCAAACGGGAAAACCAUGUAUAUAUAUAAAUACAUUAUGAUGGCGAAGCAUUACUUUAGUGUCUAACGACUUAGUACUAGAGAUUAGUGUAUACAAAAUUAUAAAUUAUGUUUUACGUGACCACUCGAUGACCAGCUGUCUAAAGUAUAUAAAAGCCCCCCCCCCCCCCCUCCCCCCUAAGUUGGACUAAAAUACUACUAACAGUCACGCGUAUAUAUUUACAAUUAUGUAUAUUGCGAUAUUCCCCUUUAUUUAUGAUGAUAGAACUCACUGUUAAACAUUAUAAAAAAAAUAUUUCAAAAAGUAUAAAAGAUUUCUUAAGCACUAGAUAGUGUAACAAAAGUCUCAGCGCCCACGGAUUCCGAAUUUUAUGCCCUUCUAAAUCUGCCACCGAGUCGAAAUUGUCUGCCUUUCAUCAUUGUCGACCAACCCUACAGAACCUACGUGUUAUAUGUGUUCCUGAUUCUAUAAAUUCGUUUUUUUCUGAAUAUGCAUGAAACAGGUUUGCAGAAAUCUAAUAUAUCUACUAGCUACAACUCGAACCCUUGUGGAAGCUGUAAUUAGUUACUAGUAACAGUAAUAUUUCAGUUUACCCAAGCCGUGUACAAAAAUAUAGAUGUAAAAUGUUGCGACCAUGAUAUACUAUUUUUUCCGUUUCCCUUAAAAAAAAUGCUGACGGCUAAAUUCAAAAUUUGAUAAGUCGUGUCUAAAACCUGAAAUUGCUGUCUCAUUGACUAUGAACUAUAGCUUUCAUAAAUUAGUUUUUGAAUAAAAAUGCAUUUCACUUUCAAUCAGACAAUCCCGGUUUUGAUUAACUGUAAAAAAAACUUAC
rnacentral:lncRNA from 1 species